ensembl:lncRNA
GAAAUAGCAAGUUAAUAGUAAAAUACAACAGCAUUGUUAACUUUAUAUAACUACUGAAAUUCUCUUUUUUCUUUUUUUUUAAACAAUACAUUGCUUUUAACAUGAACUUAUUUUUUUUUUUACUUAAGCUACAUAGUCUUUCAUCCAUAUUGGACUGUUCUUCAUCUUAACACUCCUCGGGCAUGCAUUUGGAUCCCUCAGGGAGUUCUCAUACGAAUCCCCCUUCGCUGUUCCAGCACACUUGGAAAAAUGGACUGCAUUCUAAUGUUUCCUAUCACUGAGAAGGCAUGCAGCACAGCAGUGUAGCACACACUGAUGGGCACAUCACAGACACAGACAGACAGAGAGCCGCAGAAGUGAAGCCUUCCCUCCCUUUCCAGUUGUGUUUGUCAUGGUGUGGAGCUUUGGAAAACUUGUCUCGGAUGUUUCUCUGCAUCGCUUGUUGCAUAACUCCGGGUCGUCGAUACUCCGGGGGGGAAAAAAUCGCACGUCAAAGAAGGUGGAGUUUCAGAACACACCCACCGAUUGCGCAAUCGCCACGGACCAAUGGAAGCUCAAAGGUGUUUAGGAGUCAAAUGAACUCCCCCAGAAAGUUCACUUUGGUGAGCUGUUUCGAACUAUCAAAACGAACUCAAAAAGAACUUUGUUUCGGCCUGAUGUUGUUCGAAAUGACAUCAUAUCAGUUUGUUCUUCGAUUUCAUUUGAAGUAUAUCGGGGCCUUAAUCCGGGAUUUGAACCUGUGUCACUGAAAUCACUGGCUUCCAUCCACCACUCGACUAUGGAUUAACUUGAUAAAUCAACUUCCCUUUUCCAUUGCGUGUUUGCGCACGCAAGACAGACCAGUCAUCAUUCAUCUCACUUUGCAAUGGUCAGGAGAUACAAAAAAAUUAAGUUUUUGCUAAUAAUUUCUCAAUGCUUUGGCCAAAAAUCACAAAACACAUUGGAUUUAUUGGAGCAUGCAGAGUCUAACCAUAUCUAAUUUUGCCAUGUCAGCCAUUUUGGGCAUCUAUUGAUGUAUCUAAUUAAUGAUGUAACUAAUUUGCUUGAAAGGUGCCAAAUUGCAUCUUAGGCUGUAUCUCUGCAAAGCUUUGACAAAAUGACACCAAACCUUGUGUGUACCUUUGUAAUCUUGCACAGAACACACCACAUUGACUUGAUAAUAGUGCCACCUGUUGGUCAAAAGUGAUAAGCCAAUAAAUCCAAUUACUAGUGGUUGUAUUUUAUGAUU